rnacentral:lncRNA from 1 species
AACUUUGCAAUGGGCCAGUUUUUUGUGAACCCAUUGUAAACUUUAUAAGGGGACUAUUCUAUAACCCCAUUUUUUUGUUAAGGGACUAUUCUAUAACCCCAUGUUUUGUAUAGGGUCCUUCGACCUAUUCUUUUUUACCAAUGAGUCCCGCCUAGAGGGCACUCUCGGACUGACCUCCAACUUGUACUUCUUUCCAUUCAGCAAUACAAAUGUUGACAUUUAUCAGAAAAAAAGUGUGUACAUUCAACAGAAUCGAUCAUUCUUGUACAUAAAGUUCCAACUUUGC